AACGAACGCUGGCGGCAGGCUUAACACAUGCAAGUCGAACGCAUCCUUCGGGGUGAGUGGCAGACGGGUGAGUAACGCGUGGGAACGUGCCCUUCAGUUCGGGAUAACCCAGGGAAACUUGGGCUAAUACCGGAUACGUGCGAGAGCAGAAAGAUUUAUCGCUGAAGGAUCGGCCCGCGUCUGAUUAGCUAGUUGGUGAGGUAAUGGCUCACCAAGGCGACGAUCAGUAGCUGGUCUGAGAGGAUGAUCAGCCACAUUGGGACUGAGACACGGCCCAAACUCCUACGGGAGGCAGCAGUGGGGAAUAUUGGACAAUGGGCGCAAGCCUGAUCCAGCCAUGCCGCGUGAGUGAUGAAGGCCUUAGGGUUGUAAAGCUCUUUCGUCCGGGACGAUAAUGACGGUACCGGAAGAAGAAGCCCCGGCUAACUUCGUGCCAGCAGCCGCUGUAAUAC
rnacentral:rRNA from 1 species